UAUCUCUGUAGAGUCUGCAUAUCAAUAAGCGGAGGAAAAGGAAACUAACUAAGGAUUCCCUCUAGUAACGGCGAGUGAAGCGGGAAGAGCUCAAAUUUGAAAUCUUCAAGGUUUUACCUUGACGAAUUGUAGUUUAAAGAAGUGUUUUCUGUUGAAGUUUUGGUAAAAGUUCUUUGGAAUAGGACAUCAUAGAGGGUGAGAAUCCCGUAUUUGACCAGUUAUUUUCAGCUGUGUGAUACACUUUCAAAGAGUCGGAUUGUUUGGGAAUGCAGUCCAAAAUGGGUGGUAAAUUUCAUCUAAAGCUAAAUACUGGCGAGAGACCGAUAGCGAACAAGUACCGUGAGGGAAAGAUGAAAAGAACUUUGAAAAGAGAGUUAAACAGUACGUGAAAUUGUCAAAAGGGAAGCGUUUGACACCAGUGUUGUUUUCUCGAAAAUCAAUUAAAAAUGGCUGGAAUUUUGUGUUGUAUUGACUUUAUCAGCUUUCUGCACUUUUUUCCUUGUCUUUUUUAAUGCACUUUUCGUUUAACAAGUCAACAUCAAGUUUCUUUUGUUGUAAAAAGGGUCAUUGGAAGGUGGCUUUCUUUUCGGAGAAAGUGUUUAUAGCCUUUGACUUCUGCAAUCGGAGAGAUUGAGGUCUGCAGCGUAGAUCCUUCUGGGAUUAGAUGCAUUUGUGCUAAGUUAUAGCCUUUUCAUAGACAACAUUGUUGACUAUAUUCAGUCAUGUAACUUACUCGCUUAUGUUAAUUUUACCUACGCUUAGGAUGUUGAUCUCUCACAGUCGAGC
rnacentral:rRNA from 1 species